UCCGUAAGGAAUAAGUGUUGCUGGGAGAGCAAAACAGAGGACAAGAAGAGGGGUCUCAAAAUAGCAAAUUAGAACAAAUCCAACCACAAAGUAUUUAUUCUCUUCCUACAGAUCUGUAUGCUACUUAUCAACUUAUUUCCUUGCCUUUGACCUUGGAAUCUCCAGAGAUUUUCACAGUAACUUUUAAUUGUACACAACUGGGUUGACAAGACAGAAUUUAAUCUGACUGCUCUAUGCUAGAAGCCAGAUUUUCAUCUGCAUGAAGGCUAUUCCACAUCACAAAAGAUUAAAAAAAAAAAAGAGAAGACCUUUAAGAAGGUGACUACACUUCUAACUCACCACUGAUAGAGACUCUCAAGCACAGUACCCUGGAAGUUUAUUAUUUCUGAUAGAAUUUGGAGUAGAGAGCAUGAAUAUGGCCUGAAAUUGGUCUUAAUACUAACAGAAUGUUUGAUGUGAGCAUAAACAGUACCUACAACUUUUAUUUUUCAUACUUUCUCUCCAUAAAUUUGCAGACAAGUAGUUUUCUGGGUACUCAUUUUAGUUUCAUAGCAUCCUUGUCACCUCAGAACACUGGGAAGUCUCCCAGGCAAAGUGCUGUACAUCCUUUCCUUAAGCAAAUUAUAUUUGUGGAAAGGUCGGAAUAUAACUAAUUGAACUUUAGAAGAGUAACUGGGUUAAAAGACUUAAUGAUUCGAGUAUCUUUAGAAUUUAUCCAAACAGAGAAAACCGUCUUUAUUUAACACACAUUAAGUAACAGUGUUUUGCUGUGGCUGAAACUGACACCACAACUCUGUUCAACAAUACAUCCCUAUACUUUUUGGUGAGAAAAGGAAAGGCUUAGGGUUAUGUAUGGGAAUUCAGUGGGAAUUCAGGGGAGAAGAGCUCUAUCCUAAAUUCUGAGAUACCAGGGACCUUACAAGGUGCAAAUUUAAAGCAUUGCCUUUGAAAUCUACCAUUUUUUUUCUAAGUUCUUUGCUUCUUAUUCUGUACUGGACUUCAGAUAUCCUUGAUCAACUUUGAAAAAAUUACAUGUUGUUUGAGAGCUUUUAUCUGUUAGUUAAUUUAAAUAGCAACCUACAAACAUAGCAGAAGAGAUUCUAAAAAAAUUUGUUUUCUCUAUUUUUUUUUCCUUUUUCUUUGUGAAUAAUCAUUAAAACAUAGAGGAAGGUAAUAACAUAAACAUCAUCUUCUUUUUAUGUCUUUUUGUUAACUAAGUAACAGACCUUAGCACUUUUCAGCAUUUAUAUCCCAUCACCAGUUUUGCUUUCAUAGGUAAAGCUCUCAUCAUUUCAAGGGAAUAAGUUUCCUAUUUAUUUCUUACAUCUGGUGAAGACCUCAUUCAGAGAAGACCAUCUUCUGUUCCUUCUGUUGUUUGUAAGCAGCAAUGGCCAUGAUUCCUGUGCCAGAGACAGCCUCAUGAGAGGAAAGACUUACGGUGCAGAGGAGUCAGAACAAAUGGAUGCUUUCUAUUAAUUAGGAUGCAGGCCAGAAGCAAAAGUGAGGCUUUCUGCCUCUUGCAAGUUCAGAAGCUCAUUGAAGGAUGGAGUUGUUGCAUAGGCAACUUUGGGACUGGAUGAAUAAUGUGAAUACACAGGACAGCAGCAGCAAUGAAAGGAGCACCAAGGAAGAAAAAUAAAAUCUGCCAAGCCCAAAACUUGGACAAAAUAAAACUUCUUUGAAUAGGAUUUAAGUCAUGCUGCGUGACACGAAGGGGGAAAUGCAUCCAACAAGCUGGUAUCCUUAAAUCCACAUUCUGCCCUGGCUGCUUGUUGUCAGAGCAGCUGGUGCCUGCACGCCAAAGGGGAUGUCUUCUCAACAGGAGUUGCUUAAAUGCAAAAGAACUAAGCUUUCUCUGCAGUUUUAAACUCAUGAGUUAGUUAUCAAGGAUCUAGAAUAUUUUUGGGCUACUAUCAGUGAAGUUAAAUGAAUCAUUUCCCGCUGUUCAGGAAAGACAUCAAUAAAUACCUCAGGGUCAGAUCCAGAAUAAUUAGCAGAGCUGCUAUGUGGAUACCUGCCCUACUGGGAUCUACUGAUUUAUGUCUACUCUUCCUAUUCCCAACUGCUCAGUCCCUAGUUUGUCACUUCUCAGACCUGCCUUUGGCCCCCACAUCACACUUCCCUGCUGCAGUGCCUGACUGCUGUAUGUACACUGACAGCAUCAUGCCACAGCCUCUUUUUAGUCCUAGGGAGCCAUGUCUACAUGACCAGUGAUAGCUGUGCCUAUAGUAUGCAGCAGCUGGGUCAUGGGGAAAGACAGGCCAUGGCAACACAGUGGGCUGGCAAUAACAGUAGAUUAUGCUGCUCACCUCUGAUAGAGCUGUGAGGAGACAUCAAGGUAAAAAGGAGUCUGUCAUUUCAUAGUAAAUUACAUUUCCCAACUGCUUUCUGCCUGACAUCUAUCUUCUCAAUAUUUCUAAAAUAAGCUGUAUUGUCUUACUGUCAGAACAGACUGUUUGUCUGGGAUAUUCCAACAAGUUUAGGAAUCUGUCCCAUAGUUUCAUCUGUGUGGAAAUGCUGUACUUUAUGAUUAGCAUGUUGGAGUAUGCUUUGCUGGAAGGAUGACCCAAGAGAGAAUCUGUAGUGCCUGUGUUGGGAAAUAUACACACACUUCUCACACCUAACCAUUAUUCCUAUACCAACUCUUCAUGCAAAGGAUGCACAAAUACCAUUUCGUAUUUGGCAGUAACAUUUCCCAAGUAGUAUUGGAACAGAUGCAUUUAAAUGAAUAUGGAGGCUAUUUUGUGAACAGACCCAAAAAAUCCCCUGAACUGGCUUACCCAGGUAGUGAAUGAUGAUGGUAAUGGGUUCUCUGUAGACUAUGUCAUGGUUUUUUUUCCUUACACACCUCCAACUGGGAUGUGUUCAGAAUGACACUUGUAGAACCUGACAGUAUGUGCCAUCAAGGAAUUUGAAAUGAACAUCACUGUCAGCAAUGCUAUUGUAGAGCUUUUUCAAAAUGGUCACCUUAUGUUAUCAUUGUAUCUCAGUAAAGAUAUAUCCAAAACACAAACAAGAAGCUCAAUCCUUGUUGCAGUAGCCAUUCAAAAUUUCUAAGUGUACACUAACCACCACCUAAACCAAAGUUCUAAAGCCAACUGCAGGCUCUGCUCCUAGCCUUUUAUGCAGCAUGCUGUGUUAGUUAAUAAUCGCCUCCUUAAAACUGUGUGAAUUAAUCCUAGAUGGUCUGGACUUUUGUCAAAGCUCCCGUUAUCAGGAAGUAACUGCCAGUUUUGCAGAUCCAGGCUUUUCAUGGAUCAAAAGGAAGGAAUGGAAAUGCUGCUGCUUCUUUCAGUGCUUACUUGGGCUAAGUAAAUGACAGCAAAGUACUCUUGCUUCUAAAUAGUGAGCACCAUGAAGCCACCUGGAUGGAUCUGCACUGUGCACGGCCUCUUCAUCUACACAUGGCCCAAAGGCCCUGAACUCUAAUUUGCAUCUAGUUUGGAAGCUGGCCACAGUGACACCCACACUUCCUCUCACUCAAAUUGCUCUGUGAUAUCAUGGCAUGCAGAAGAAAUCCACAGCAGAAGCUCAUGACGUGGAGGACCUUCACUUUUGCCACUGGUAAUAUGGGCUUAAUACAGUUAUUAACAACAGGGUUUCACCAAUGUAAAUGGCAGUGUUUUUGAAGUACUACCACAGAUGUAGACAGAAAUGAAAACAUGUACAUUCCUUCUAAUUAGACAGAAUCCAGUUGGAUUAAUUUCAGCAAAAACUCAACUGUCCUUUUAGAAACAAAUGUCCUUCACCACAAGAAAAUGAUACUGAGAAAAAGAAAUGCAAGAGGAUUCAGACAGUUAUCUUUUCAGAUUUCAAUUAAAAAGAAAAUACUUGCCUGUGUAACAUGGAACAAUCAGGAUUUCACUGUUCUUACAAGCUCACACAGAGUCUGCAACAAAAUAAAAUCUUGCUUCAGUCUUA